GAGAGCUGCAGUCAUCUGCUGCGGGUCUUUUAUUACGUGGCAAGUUUAGAAUAACAUUUUCAAAACAUACAACUUCAAACAUCUAAGUUCUCAUGAGAUGAUACUUGGAUCUCGAGUGCAUCUGUGUGUUUCCCAGAGGCCCGGGCGGGACUCCUGGCCACUGGAUGGUAUGCUCUGCCUUCAGAACGGCUCUUUCCACCGUUCUGAAAUGCCCUCCCUCAUAGACACCUCAGGUGUGUUUCUCUGCUGACUCUAAAUCCAGUCAACUUGUCAAAGAUUAACCAUCAGAGGAGCAGGCUCUUCGGUGGAGACCUUUUGGGAGGAGGCCCUACCGACCGGAGGAUGGCAGCUGCGUGGCUGCCCUGCAACAAUGGACAGAACCAACUUCUACUUUGUUUGCAAGGCACAGAUCCAAAAGAACAAUGAAUGGUGGGACACGCUCCUUGCCCCACAAGAAUCUGUGUGUCCUUUGUAACUCCUUUAGAGCAGGGCAGGGCAGGAUGUGUGAGGCGCCAGGAUCGAAUUUCUGCUCCAGCCAUGUUCCUGAAUCCCAGCCAGCAGACAGGAAAGAAGACAGGUAGCAACAUAUACCAACAUAUUCAGGAGCAUAUUCCUACGUGUAGGCGUGGCAAAUAUACACAACCAGCUGCAGCGUAACCAUCUUAAGUGUGCUAAAUUUAGCAUGUCCUCUGGACUUAAACAUGUUCACCUUGCUAUGCAAACAUUACCAGCAUCAUAUCUAGAGUCCUUUUUAAUCCUCUUAUAGUGGCCAUUCCUGAUUGUCAACUUGACUAUAUCUGGAAUGAACUACAAUCCAGAAUUGGAGGGUUCACCUGUGAUCCAGAUCUUGAGGCUGGAAGACACAAGUUUCUGACCUGGAUCUUGGUAUGGAGAUCUUGAGGCAUAGUGGUCAUGAAAAGCUUAGGCCCAGGCAAAGCAGUAUACUCCUUUAAUCCCAGGAGACUGAGGCAUGAAGAUCUCUGAGUUCAAGGUCAGUCUGGGGCAAAGCAAGUUCCAGGUCCAGGUAUAGUGGUACACACCUUUAAUCUGGGCCACACCUUCUGCUGGAGACCUAUAUAAAGACAUUGGAAGAAGGAAGAGUUACUCUCUCUUCUUCGCCUGCUUGUCUUGUGGACUGAACAACUACUAGACACUUGGACUUCCAUUCACAGCUGCUGCUGACCAUUGUUGGUGAGUUGGACUACAGAUUGUAAGUCAUCAACAAAUUCCCUUACUAUAUAGAGACUACCCAUAAAAGUUCUGUGACUCUAGAGGACCCUGACUAACACACCUCUCAAACAGAAACUCCGGUAAACAAUUACUCUCUCUUCAGCCCCUGACAGCUACUCUACCUUCUGUUCUUGGGAAUCUGACUACUCUAAAUCCAUGAAUGGAGUCCUGCCAACAUUUGUCGAUGACUGGUCCUAUUCAUGGUAGUUCAUGAAUAUCAUGAUAUCGGUGUCCAUUUGUUAUCUGGGCCAGGAUUCCCUUUGCCAGGCUGAGUACUAUUCCAUUGUGUGUGUGUGUGCACUUUCCCAUGCAUUUGCUGGUAGAUGGUUAGGUUGCUUCUUUGCUUUUUGCUUACGUGAAUAGUGCUACAGUGAACACGAACAUACAGAUGCCCUUUGUUCCCUCAGAAGCUUCAUAUUCUCAUGUGUAAUGCACAAGAGAGGACAUUUCUCCCCUUCUUACCGACCCUCGUUUUCUGGGUUGUUUUUGUUUGUUUGCUUAAAGAGUAGCCUCACGAUGAGUCUGGAAGGGCACCCCAUGGUGGUUCUCAUUUGUACUUCCCUAACAGAGUGUGAUAUGAGCAUUUUGCCCUGUGCCCGUUCAUCACUACUAGUUCAUAUUCCUGGAAAGAUAACUGUCCGUUCAAUUCACUUGUUCACGGUUUGAUUGAACCGUUCCGAAUGGUGUAGAAUGGACUUUAACUCCUAUCAGAUGGAUAAUUUGUACUGUGCUCUCUUUCCCAUUCUCUGAGUUGUCUUUUCCUUCUAUUGGUAAUACUGUUUGAUACACAGGUUUUUCUCAAUAUAAUCCAAUAGACUUUCCUGUGUCUGCUUUAGCAAGAUGUUCUUCCACCUGUGUGCCCCAGCAAAACAUCAUUUGACAUAACUAACUUUCCAAAGAAGCUAGAAGUUUCCAUUUCACAGGGAUCCUGCCCAGCUCCUCAGGGUGGCUACCUCACAAGCUGUGCAACCGGUUUAAUGUCUUCUGUCUUCUGUGCUUGGAAGACAGUCCUCACCUUUUCUAGCCACUCUCAUCUCAACCAUCACCUCACCUGGGAAGCCUUCCUUGCUCCUCCCCAGGGACUUAAACACGUUUUCUUUUGUUCCUUUGGGCAUUGCCAUCCAAGGACUUUGUUACUCUUUGCUUGUUUGUUUUUGUCUGUCUACUUUCCCAUUAAAGCUUGAGCUCUUUGUGUG
rnacentral:lncRNA from 1 species